AAUGCACCAAACUUAAGUCGCUCUGGAUAAGAGCGUCUGCUAAAUGACUUAAA
rfam:Salmo salar isolate Sally breed double haploid chromosome ssa01, whole genome shotgun sequence.